GGGAGAACCCGGGACCGCGGGAGCGGUUGGGUUGGAAGGGGCCUCCGAGGGCGGCAAGAUCAGACUGUGACCGAGCGCCGCCUUGUCAAGGCACCAAGUGCCGCUUCCAGCCUUGCCUUUAAUAACAGUGACUCCACCACCUCCCUGGGCAGCCCAUUCCAAUGUCUAAUCACUUUUUAUGAGAAGAAAUUCUUCCUUAUGUCCAACCUAAACCUCCCCUGGUGCAGCUUGUAAUCAUUUCCUUCUCGUCCUGGGAGCAGAGCCCGACCCCCCCCCCCGGCUCCCCCCUCCUGUCAGGGAGUUGCAGAGAGUGAUGAAGUUCCCCUGAGCCUCCUUUCAUCCAGACUAAAUACCCCCAGCUCCCUCAGCUGCUCCUCACAGGACACGUUCUCCAGACCCUCCACCAGCUCCAUUGCCCUCCUCUGGACUCGCUCCAGCCCCCCAAUGACCUUCCUGCACUGAGGGGCCCAGAACUGGACGCAGCACUCAAGGUGUGCCCUCACCAUUUCCAAGUGUACCUGGUACUGUACCCGGGCUGAGCCCCUCAGCCACACAGGCUGUGCUCAGGUGCUGGUGGUGGUGUUUGCUCUGGGACCUGGGUUUGGUGUGUGCUGGUACAGGCUGGCUUGUGCUUAGAAGCCUUCCAGAUACAGACUUUACAAACGCAGUUGGCUCAGACUUCGCUGAACUCGCUCAGAUUAUAGUUACAGAAUCACAGAAUAUUCUGAGUUGGAAAGGACCCACAAGGCUCAUGGAAGUCCAACUCCUGGCCCUUCACGGGACACCCCAACAAUCCCACAAUGUGCCUGAGACAUUGUCCAAACACUCUUUUAACUGUGACAGGCUUGGUGCCUUGACCACUUCCCUGGGUCCUGAUAUCCAACCUAAACCUCCCCUGGCUCAGCCUCAUGACAUUCCCUCAGGUCCUGUCGCUGGUCACCAGAGAGAAGAGAUUGGUGCUGCCCCUCCUCUUCCCCUCCCGAGGAAGUUGGAGACUGGAGUGAGGUCUCCCCUCAGUCUCCUCCAGGCUGAACAGACCAAGUGACCUCAGCCGCUCCUCACACGGCUUCCCCUCAAGGCCCUUCACCAUCUUCAUAGCCCCUAGUUGUUUAAUCACAAUGGAACAAUUACAGUGUGCCAGCCCUGUGCCUGCUCAUCUUCUCUUGGCUGUGAGCUGAUGCAAACCCAAGUCGCUAUCUCAUUUCCCUCACAGGCAGUUGCUGCUGGUGAUCAGCAGCAGCUCUGUGUUAACCUGAAUGUGUCUCUGUUUGCCCUGGAGGCUUGUCCCAGUUCAGUUGGCUGCAGGGACCAUCCCUGUGAAACCACAUGGGUCCAUCCCUAGGAAGAGCAAUCUGAGUGUGUGUUACCUCUGCAAGAGGUAAGAGAGUCACAAAUGCCCACUGCAGGCUUCUCAUCUCCUGCCAGGGAAAGCAGUGCAGGGAAGGUGUAUGGCUUGUGGAAGGGACCACACCUGACAUGUGUAAGACUUCAUUUCCUUGCAGCUGUGGUUUUCAGAGAGUCUGCUGUCAAAACCCAGGCCCCCACAACUCUUACUAAAGGAGCUACUUGAGCAGAGUCACUUGGGCAGUACGAGGUUUUCUCAGGCUGUUUUUGUUGAAUGCCUGAUGGUGGCAGCAGCAGAGAUCACCUUCAUGAAGAAGUGCCAACUGCCUUCCCGUUUUAGGCCAUGUGCUUUGGAGCAGCACAAGCAAUGUGCACAGCCCAGAACACUGAAAAUCACUUUCUGAAAGUCCAUUUUUCUUUUCUUAGCUUCUUUCUGUGUGUUCUUUCAUCUAAAUAGUCAAACUGAGUUGAAUCCAAUUUCCCCUCUUAUAGCCACAGUGACAUGAGAGGGAAGAAAAUGUGGACACCACAGGAUAUGGAUACCCCAGCGUGGGCUCCACCUGCGUAGUAGUAUAACUGCUUCCUGCAUCCAUUGGUUUCCUUGAAUUCAAAUAGACAUCACAGUUGCUUUUGAUUUUGAGGCUGUUCCCUUCAGGCUCAACACCUGCUGUCAGGCUCUGAGUGUGUAUUUGAACAUGUGUGCACAAGUGCAGCACUGGGUCAGUGAACUACCAGGCUCUGAGUUAAGGAACCUUCUGUACCCCUUGCUUCUCAUUAGUGCUUCAUUAAGGGACACCUGAAGGUCUGUGAGACAGAAGUUCAGUUUUGUCUCUUGGUGAUAAACCAGGGCUGCUGAAAAGUGCCAGCUGGAUUGAGAUUCUGCUGGGAAGGUCACUGGCUGAACAAGGAGCAUUGGCUGGUUAAGCUACUCAGUUUAAUUGCACAUAUGUUGCCUAAAAUUUGGGAGCAUUCUUGCUUAAAAACCACUCAAAACCUAAAAGUAGAAGCAAGUAAACUAUUUGUACAUUAGAAAGUAAGUCAGGUAGACUGUGGGUGAGCUGUGCCAUAGUCUGCAGCCUUGGAUUUGGAGAGGAAAGGAGCAAUUAUGGAAAGUCAUGACCACGGCAGAGGUGUUGGAGGUCUUUGUGCCACUGCUGAGGGCUGAAAGUGGAGCAGUGAGCAGUGAAGCUGAGUCAGGACACCUGUGGAGCAGUGACUGUCGGUAGAGAGCAGCAAAAACACCAGCCAUUCCUUGGGCCAUUUCCUUAAAGAGCAGUGCAGGAUGGCGUGUCUGUGUUCAACCCUGCACACCAGGACAUCACUCCGAUGGACAGACGUGCUCACCCAGACGAGUCCCCUGGGGCUGGGCAGCAAACUGUGUGCCCAGGGGUGGCUGGGCCUCAGUGGUUGCUUUCCCUCAGCUGUGGGAGCUGCAUUGUGGCAGCAAGAAAAGGGUUAUUGCUCGGAUUUCCUGAGGAUGGCUGUCUCAUCUACACAUGAUUAUUCACAACUUCUAAGUUAAUGUAUUCUAAACCGAUGUCCUUCCCCCCUCCCCGGAAAGUUAUAUUUGUUUAAAACUCUUUGUUUAAACACUUGGCUUGCAGGUGGGGAAAUAUUGCUCAUGCUUUGUUAUGAAGGCAGUGUAAUUCAGCUUCUCAGGUCUCUGUGCAAAAGCUUGAACUACUGCCAUUUAACAGGGGGGAUUUUCCACUUUGCUUUUUACUGAGCAUCUCUACAGUCUGAAGAUGGACCUUGUCGCUGCCAAAGCGCACCUGGUAAAAGCUGAUAUUUUUCCCUUAGCUCUGGGUCUGGCAUGGGCUAGAGCAGCUGCUAAACCUGGUUCUUCUUGACAUCAGAAGUUCAGAAUAAAUCUCCCGAGUGACACCAUAUGCACUCUUUUUCCAAAUCUUGUUGGUUGUCUCCUUUGCUGUCUUUAAGCCUGAUUCAAAUGGAGACACCUGAAGCUGGGGAAGGACUCUCCAGGGAUUUCAGCAGGCUUUAGGGAGAAGUUGAUGUACAAGGUGGAUAAGGCACCUGAAUGGGAGAUAUGUUCCAGGUGACACAAAAAUGAAGACACCAACAACUAUAAAGAAGUCAUGAGAGCAGUGCAGGUGAGUGCUGGUGAACACACCUCCUUCCAUGUCCUGGUUGCACCACAUCGGCUCGGAUUUACUAGAAACGAGUUUCAUUUUGUUAAGUAACAUAAGAAUCACGAAGAAAAACCUCUCCAUUGUUCUUACCAAUAAACACAGGGUCAGAAUCGCUGCUCUUAGUGUAACUGAGACAAACAUAUUAUUGCAGAACCCCAGCAGUCUGGGAGCAGAGCUCAGCCUUCCACUCCCUGCACUCAGCCACACUUAAGUUCUGUGACUCCAUUUCAAUGCCAAGUCACCCAGCUGAGUAGAAAUAACCCCUGUGGCAGCAGCACACACAGAGCUCGAUUGCUGCCCCUGUUUCUGUGUAACUGUGCCUUUUGGUUGCCAGGAUCAUGGAGAACUGUGGAGCUGCACUGUUCAUGAGCACUGGGUAGCUCCGUGGGAUUCUCGAACUCCAGAGAGAUCUGUCAUAACUCUUUCAAUAAAUAUAUUUACUCUUUCAAGAAGUAAAUAUUUGAAAGCAUACAGGACAACAUCAGCAUGCUGGAGUCAUACUUUUGUCCCAGGGGGUGACACUGCAGAUGGCUCUGUGCAUCUAGAGGUACACAGAGAUAUCAGAUAAAAGAGGAGCAGUAGAGCUGUCAGGGGCACGUGCUGAAUUCCAACUGCAGCUCAAACUUGAGACCUGCAAGAUCUGCCGUCUUCAUUUAGGCACCUCUGUAAAAGUUACUCACCAAACACAGUCACUGCUCCCUGUGGAGUCUCCCAUGAAGGUAAAUCCCUCCCCACUGAGCAGCCUCAUCCCGAGAUGUGGCAGACACAGUGAUACCCCAUUGCUGUCAGCAGAAGUUGAACUUGCUGCUGCAGUGAGUGAUGCUCAACAAAAUGGGCACUUAGACACGUGCCUUCAUUUUUCCUAUGGAAAGAGGAGUUUCUUGUAGCAGUUAAAAACAUUCUGUAUAAUAAAAAUUGUCUUCCAGCAUCA